UUUGAUCCUGGCUCAGAUUGAACGCUGGCGGCGUGCCUAACACAUGCAAGUCGAACGAAGUUUGGGAGCUUGCUCCCGGACUUAGUGGCGCACGGGUGAGUAACACGUGGAUGAUCUACCCAUCAGACCGGGAUAACAGUUGGAAACGACUGCUAAUACCAGAUACGAUCGUACAUUCGAAGUAAGGUGAAAGGAGGCCUCUGCAUAUGCUUUCGCUGAUGGAUGAGUCCGCGCCUCAUUAGGUAGUUGGUAGGGUAACGGCCUACCAAGCCAACGAUGAGUAGCCGACCUGAGAGGGUAAUCGGCCACACUGGGACUGGAACACGGCCCAGACUCCUACGGGAGGCAGCAGUGGGGAAUAUUGCGCAAUGGGCGAAAGCCUGACGCAGCGACGCCGCGUGAGGGAUGAAGGCCUUCGGGUCGUAAACCUCUGUCGGGAGGGAAGAACGGCACAAGUGCUAAUCAGCUUGUGUAUGACGGUACCUCCAAAGGAAGCACCGGCUAACUCCGUGCCAGCAGCCGCGGUAAUACGGAGGGUGCAAGCGUUAAUCGGAAUCACUGGGCGUAAAGCGCGCGUAGGCGGCAUUGUAAGUCAGAGGUGAAAGCCCACGGCCCACCCGUGGAACUGCCUUUGAUACUGCAUUGCUUGAGUGAGUGAGAGGAUAGUGGAAUUCCUGGUGUAGGAGUGAAAUCCGUAGAGAUCAGGAGGAACAUCAGUGGCGAAGGCGACUAUCUGGCACUAAACUGACGCUGAGGUGCGAAAGCGGGGGGAUCAAACCAGGAUUAGAUNCCCUGGUAGUCCACNCUGUAAACGAUGGAUACUAGGCGCUGGGAGCUCGACUCUCGGUGCCGUAGCUAACGCGUUAAGUAUCCCGCCUGGGGAGUACGGUCGCAAGGCUGAAACUCAAAGAAAUUGACGGGGGCCCGCACAAGCGGUGGAGUAUGUGGUUUAAUUCGAUGCAACGCGAAGAACCUUACCUAGGCUUGACAUCCAGGGAACCCUCCCGAAAAGGAGGGGUGCUCUUCGGAGAACCCUGAGACAGGUGCUGCAUGGCUGUCGUCAGCUCGUGCCGUGAGGUGUUGGGUUAAGUCCCGCAACGAGCGCAGCCCCUAUCGCCAGUUGCCACCGGGUAAAGCCGGGGCACUCAGGUGAGACUGCUGUGGUCAACACAGAGGAAGGUGGGGACGACGAUCAAGUCAUCAUGGCCCUUACGCCUAGGGCUACACACGUACUACAAUGGCGCGCACAAAGGGCAGCGAGACCGCGAGGUGGAGCCAAUCCCAAAAAACGCGUCCCAGUCCGGAUUGCAGUCUGCAACUCGACUGCAUGAAGUUGGAAUCGCUAGUAAUUCUGGAUCAGCAUGCCAGGGGUGAAUGCGUUCCCGGGCCUUGUACACACCGCCCGUCACACCACGAAAGUUGGUUUUACCCGACACCGGUGAGCUAACCCGCAAGGGAGGCAGCCGUCUACGGUAGGGCCUGAUGAUUGGGGUGAAGUCGUAACAAGGUAACC
rnacentral:rRNA from 1 species